AAAAUACAAAAAAAGUAGAGAUGCCUGUCACAUUAUUAAAAUUAUAAAACCACCACCCAUCUGCAGAUCACUACAACUUCAUCUUCUUCUCCAAUAGAUCUUGCAUCUUUCUUCCACUUUCUCCCAUCAACUGCUAGAUUUCUUCAAUUAAUCAUGAAGGAUCUGUUGUGUGGAUGUUUAUCAAAUCAAGCUUCUUGAAGGUGAUUCUGCUGGAUCUGUCAUGGUGUUUUAUUUGUGGAUGCAGGGUUGGCAAUAACAAAUUUGGACCACAAGAGUGUAACAUAUCAGGAAUAAGGAGCAACGGAUGUACGGCUCGAAGAUGAAAUGUUUCGUGCGAUGGAACCCUCACCUGGGUGGAUCAAUAUACCCAAGAGAGAUACUAUGAUUUUGAUGAUUGGAAACUAUAACAACCGUUUGGUGUAAAUUAGGAUCUACGUUGAGUAGCAUGGAUAUUUUGAAUCUAUAUGAAUGUGGUCCAUUAAUUGCACAGAUUCUAAAUUAGGAAACUUUGGUUUUCAUGUAAAUAUUUCAUUCUCAAUGCUGCUUCUAUCACAAUAACUACCGUGUCCAUUAAACAACACCGACAAUAUGAUCGUUUUGGAUGGUUUUGUUGACUUGGUUGUUAAUGUGAUAGAAGCAGCAUUGAGAGUGAAAUAUUUACAUGGAAACCAAAGCUUUAUAAUUUCGAAACUGUGCAAUAAAUCUUCCGCCAGAUACAAAAAUAGCUAUGCUAUUGAAAUGUAGAUCCUAAUCUACACCAUAGGGUUAUAUUACUCUCUUUUGAUCUUAUUGAUGGUUAUAGUACUUCUCAAGGAAUCCCUAUCUGCUCAGGUGACGGUUCCAUAUCAUGAAAAGAUUACAACUUCUAGCAUAUGUAUUGUUAUAAUUGCAAUGGUGAAAUGUAUGUUCCACCUAAUCAGUCUUUGUGAGAUGAGUUUGUUAAAUGUUCGAUUGUUUUGUCUCGUAUAUUAUUUAACACAAAUUCACAAUACGCAUUACAUGUGUUCUUGCCUUA